UGCCGGAGCAACGACCCUGCGGCGCCGACGACCAAGGCCCAGGUCGCCAUCUCCGAGGGCUUCUACCACUACGGCAUCAUGUUGGACAAGGGGUUCAACCUGCCCAUGGAUCUCACGUGCAGCUCCGGCGACGCGCUCCGGUGCCGGGAGGACGGGUGCCACGACGCGUUCCCGUACGUGAAGUACAACGACCACUCAUGCACCGCCGCCGGCAGCCGGCUCCAAAUCAUCUUCUGCCCAUGAUGAGCUAGCUAGCGGCAGAAUGUAAACAUAUAACCUACACAUAUACUACGUGUAGUAGUACAUACUCAGACGUGUCAUGUAUUCUCAGCGGUACGUACGUACACGUAUGAACGCACGUGCGAGUUUCCAAUAAAAUUGCCAUGUGUGAUGUGCCUUUGAUAUAUUGUUCUUUUUUAUCGAAUGCCUUUGAUAUAUUGUUCUUUUUUAUUGAAUGCCUUUGAUAUAUUGUUUACGGGAAUUUACACACAAAAGAACGUGAAUUUGAACAAGAUAGCCUACAAAUAUGUAUGUUUUUCCACACACAAAAAAUAUAUGUAUGUUCUAACAUUGGGACUCAGCUUGAUUUUUUUUUCGAGGGGUGGGACUCAGGUUGAUGGUCAGGGUCUCAACUGGCAUGGCCACGAUUUUUAUAGAGAUUGAGCCAGGAUAUGUGAUUGGGGCAUGAUACCAGCUUUUUUUCCAACCGGGCUCACAACCCCUUUCCAUUAAUUUUGCAAUCAACGGAAAUACAUCAGUCUGGUUUCAAGUUCUAUAUCGAGCAUCCACUUGCUAAAGAUAACUAGACUGAAAGAUAGAACUGACCGCAAGCAAAAUGAGACUGAAAGAGGAGAGCAGGUUGGUGCAUCAUCAGGAAACCCAUCGUCGGACAAUCCUGGAACGGACCAUCCGUCGUGGCGCGAAAACCUGAUGACACUUACAAGCAACUGCCCAACCAAAAUACCCAAGGUUCCCAGGAUGAAAUUGCCAGUAAGCCUCUACGACUAGGCGAACCACAACCAGGAAGCACAAUUACCAGCGGGCAUCAAACCCCAGUGGACAACAGAACGCAAAAGGAAAGAUCCAAGCGCCGAUUUCAUCUAACCAAUCUGGAUCCCAUCUCUGUCUCCCAAGAGAAGUCUGCCACGAGGGAAGGACCUGUCCGCCAGCGCAGCAGCCGCGUGAGCUAACCUCUUCACUCCAUCUUGGAACUUCACCUUCUCAUCCUCCUUAAGCAGACCUCACUAGUAGAAAAAGGGUCAAACGUGAAGCACAUUAGUGCCGGUUUGUAUUUGAGCCGGUACUAAUGGUACCAUUAGUGCCGGUUCGAACGGAUUUGCAUUAAUGCCGGUUCGUGUUGAACCUUUAGUACCGGUUCGUGGCACGAACUGGUACUAAAGGGGUGGUGGCAGGCUGGCGUCAGGCCGGGGCCCCACGAUCACCUUCAGUACGGGUUCGUGGCACGAACCGGUACUAAAGGUCUAACCUUUAGUACCGGUUCGUGCCAUGAACCGGUACUAAAGGGGUCUGACCUAUAGUACCGGUUGGAGACACAAACCGGCACUAUAGGGCAAUUUUCAAACUUGAAAAAAUCAUAACUAAAUCAUCGUAAUUCAGAAAAAUACAUAUAAUAUAUCAAAAUAUGCAGACUUUUAAGAAAGAAAUUAGGAAGGCUAUACAGGGAAAAUGCGUGAAGGUUCUCGCAGAGUGUGUUCCUUUAAUCUCACCAACCAGUUAGCUUAGGAUGUGCGAAUCAACCUGUGGUUGGACGGUUAGAGGGACAAUAGUAUCCACAACCCAUCAUGGUUUAAGUCCUGGUGCUCACAUUAUUCCUGGAUUUAUUUUAGGAUUUCUGGCGUUGUGCUUUCAGCGGGAGGAGACGUUCCUGUCGACAACGAGGCGCCUACGGUAACUUUGUAAAUGUCAAGAUGAUAUACUGGCUAGGUCUCUCGUAGGUGCUCAUAGGGGUAGGAAUGUGCAUGUGUGCAUUCAUAGGGGUGAGCGUAUGUGCGUAUGUUUGAGCACUUGCGUCUAUACUAUGCUAAAAACAGAUAGCUCGGAAUGUGUGUUAUGCUAUAUGUAUAUAACCUAGUUUCCGCUGUAAAGGGCCCGUGCGUUGCAAUAUGAAAACCCGCGAAAGUUGACCUCGGUACCAAUUGGCAGGAUCUCACAGACCUGCGAGGGCCCCACUUGCCACCCUUCCUUCCCACCGACACGGAGCCUCCAAGUAUACUCUUCAUCCACGUGUUGUGUGGCUGAGACAUGGACAAAAAUACACAGUAAUCGUGCAUUCUUGUCGUCCUGAAUGAAGAUACAUAAAUUUACAGAAUAUUUUUAAUACAGGUUGAAUUUUUUUGAAGUACACGUUGUCAAUUUUUUGAAUGCAUGACGAACAUAUUUCGAAAACACGUUUGCAGUUUUUUAAUACAUGUGAAACAUUUUUGGAAAACAUGUUUACAAUUUUAUAAUAUACAGGAGGUGCUCUUCGGUCUAGCUGAAGCCGAAGAGGUGCUCUUCGAUCUAACUUAGGCCGAAGACAGGUCUUCGGUGUACUGUAGACUGAAGAGCUCCGAAGUCGGGCCAAAAAGAACUCUUCGGUCUACGCUUGGCUGAAGAAUGCACUUCGGUUUAAGCCAAGCCGAAGUGUCCUCUGAGGCCCACCUCUUCGCGUGAACUGCAGACCGAAGUUGCAUGGCAGCACACUUCGGUUUACACUUGGCUGAAGAGGACCUCUUUGGUUUAUACUAGGCUGAAGAGUGACCUUUUCCCGCCAAGCCUUUUCCGCCAUCUGUAAUGUAUCUUUCCCUCCAUUUGUUCACGCCAUUUUCUUUCCCUCCACUGUUUCCUUCCAUCCUCUUUCCUGCCCAGUUUUCCUGCCAACCCCUUACCGUCAUUCUAUAAAACCAGACCUCUUGCCUGUUGUUUUCUGAAUCUUUCCUUAGCAAUAUUUUCAGUCAUGUCCGACGACAAUUCCGGCGGUUUUACUCCACUAAUGUCUCAUUUGCCCUUGUGCAAUGCCUCAAGAAUGCAUAGGCCUAGUAUGGGGGGUGUGUGAAGGAAAUAUACCCUAGAGGCAAUAAUAAAGUUAUUAUUUAUUUCCUUAUUUCAUGAUUAAUAUUUAUUAUUCAUGCUAGAAUUGUAUUAACCGGAAACAUAAUACAUGUGUGAAUACAUAGACAAACAAAGUGUCACCAGUAUGCCUCUACUUGACUAGCUCGUUGGUCAAAGAUGGUUAUGUUUCCUAACCAUAGACACGAGUUGUCAUUUGAUUAACGGGAUCACAUCAUUAGGAGAAUGAUGUGAUUGACUUGACCCAUUCCGUUAGCUUAGCACACGAUCGUUUAGUAUGUUGCUAUUGCUUUCUUCAUGAAUUAUACAUGUUCCUAUGACUAUGAGAUUAUGCAACUCCCAUUUACUAGAGGAACACUUUGUGUUCUACCAAACGUCACAACGUAACUGGGUGAUUAUAAAGGUGCUCUACAAGUGUCUCUGAAGGUACUUGUUGGGUUGGCGUAUUUCGAGAUUAGGAUUUGUCACUUCGAUUGUCGGAGAGGUAUCUCUGGGUCCUCUUGAUAAUGCACAUCACUUAAGCCUUGCAAGCAAUGCAACUAAUGAGUUAGUUGCGGGAUGAUGUAUUACGGAACGAGUAAAGAGACUUGCCAGUAACGAGAUUGAACUAGGUAUUGAGAUACCGACGAUCGAAUCUCGGGCAAGUAACAUACCGAUGACAAAGGGAACAACGUAUGUUGUUAUGCUGUCUGACCGAUAAAGAUCUUCGUAGAAUAUGUAGGAGCCAAUAUGAGCAUCCAGGUUCCGCUAUUGGUUAUUGACUGGAGACGUGUCUCGGUCAUGUCUACAUUGUUCUCGAACCCGUAGGGUCCGCACGCUUAAGGUUUCGAUGACAGUUAUAUUAUGAGUUUAUAAGUUUUGAUGUACCGAAGGAGUUCGGAGUCCCGGAUGAGAUCGAGGACAUGACGAGGAGUCUCGAAAUGGUCGAGACAUAAAGAUCGAUAUAUUGGACAACCAUAUUCGGACAUCGUAAAGGUUCCGCGUGAUUCGGGUAUUUUUCGGACUACCGGAGAGUUACGGGAAUUCGCCGGGGACUAUAUGGGCCUUAUUGGGCCAUACGGGAAUAGAGGAGAGAGGCCAAAAGGAAGGAGGCCCCCCUCUGGUCUGAAUUGGACAAGGGGUGCAACAACAACAUACAACUAUCUAGAUAAAGCAUUUAAAUGCAACAACAAAUGCGAUCAAAAUUGCAACUAAGGUAAUAAUUGAUCCAAUAGCAUAAUGAUACCAAGCCUAUUUAUUUGCGGCAUAUUUUCUAAACUUUCUAAUCUUCAAGCGCAUUGCAUCCAUCUUGAUCUUUGGAUCAUCGACGACAACAGCAACAUACAAAUCCAAUUUCAUCUUCUCUUUUCAAUUCUUUUUAAUUUUUCAUUCAAAUACUCAUUUUCUUUUUCAACUAAAUUUAACUUCUCGACAAGAGGGUCGGUGGCAAUUUCUGAUUCACAUACCUCCUAAAUAAAAAUAUAUAUGUUAGCUUGAUGGGCAUAAUUGUCAUAAACACAAAAUGCAACAAAUAGUUAUAAAAGAUAUUAUACCACAUCCGAAUCAUAAAUCAGACAAGGGCCGUCGGCGAAGGAUAUCAAAACCAUGGCACUACGUAUAACAAACAAUCAUACAAGUAAGAAAAUUAUACAAGCUACUAUCUAAAUCAUAGAAAUAAGAUUUCUUUGCACAAAAAGGAUAAGAACAAGAGCCUCACCAAGGAGGUGUCGGCGACGGGACGGCGCGGGCGAUCGAUGAUGGUGAGGACGGGAAGGCAGUAGUUAAACCACACCUACACAUAUGGAAACUAAGAAGUUAAUUUGAGCUCAAAUUACAUAUAAAUCAAAUAAACUCCCACAUAAUUACUCCCAAACCAAAACCCACAAAUGACUAUACUUAUACAGCAAGAAACAAGCUAAACUAGCAAUGAGAGAGGAAAGGACAAAGUUACUAACCUUUUAAACACUUGGAUAGAUGGGGUGCCUCAAAUCUUAACAAAUCUUGGCAGUUAGAUGACACCACUACACUACACACGGUAGGAGUUAUCUUGAACGAAACACAAGGGAAAAAAGUCGGACCCGACAAAGGUCGUCCAGGUAGGUAGCCAUCUUUGAAUUGAAUGAGUGUUCUCCAAAGUAGCUAGCUCGGUGAGAUGAUCGACAUCUUCAUCACGAACCCUAUACAAACGCCAAGCUCCAUGAGCUCAGUCCCAGCACACACACACACCCACAGUUCCACCUAAUAUAAUGGCCGGAAGCGCGAGCGCCACUCCGGUCCUCCUCGUCGUCGUGCUCGCGACCCUCGUCGCGGGGGCCAGCACGACAUCGACGCUGACGCCGCUCAGCAUCACCAACCGGUGCUCCUUCACGGUGUGGCCGGCGGUGGCCUCCGCAGGCCUCGGCACCGAGCUCCAUCCGGGAGCCGACUGGACCGUGGACGCGUCGGUGAUCCACUACACCGCGGACAUAUGGGGGCGCACGGGGUGCUCCUUCGACGCGGCAGGCAGGGGGCGGUGCCAGACGGCGGACUGCGGCAGCGGGCUGCGGUGCCGGAGCACCGACCUUGCGGCACCGGCGACCAAGGCCCAGGUCGCCAUCUCCGAGGGCUUCUACCACUACGGCAUCACGUUGGACAAGGAGUUCAACCUGCCCAUGGAUCUCACGUGCAGCUCCGGCGACGCGCUCCGGUGCCGGGAGGACGGGCGCCACGAUGCGUUCCCGUACGUGAAGUACAACGACCACUCGUGCACCGCCGUCGGCAGCCGGCUCCAGACCGUCUUCUGCCCAUGAUGAGCUAGCUAGCGGCAGAAUGUAAACAUAUAACCUACACAUAUACUACGUGUAGUAGUACAUACUCAGACGUGUCAUGUAUUCUCAGCGGUACGUACGUACACAUAUGAACGCACGUGCGAGUUUCCAAUAAAAUUGCCAUGUGUGAUGUGCCUUUGAUAUAUUGUUCUUUUUUAUCGAAUGCUUUUGAUAUAUUGUUCUUUUUUAUUGAAUGCCUUUGAUAUAUUGUUUACGGGAAUUUACACACAAAAGAACGUGAAUUUGAACAAGAUAGCCUACAAAUAUGUAUGUUUUUCCACACACAAAAAAUAUAUGUAUGUUCUAACAUUGGGACUCAGCUUGAAUUUUUUUUCGAGGGGUGGGACUCAGGUUGAUGGUCAGGGUCUCAAAUGGCAUGGCCACGAUUUUUAGAGAGGUUGAGCCAGGAUAUGUGAUUGGGGCAUGAUACCAGCUUUUUUUCCAACCGGGCUCACAACCCCUUUCCAUUAAUUUUGCAAUCAACGGAAAUACAUCAGUCUGGUUUCAAGUUCUGUAUCGAGCAUCCACUUGUAAAGAUAACUAGACUGAAAGAUAGAACUAACCGCAAGCAAAAUGAGACUGAAAGAGGAGAGCAGGUUGGUGCAUCAUCAGGAAACCCAUCGUCGGACAGUCCUGGAACGGACCAUCCGCCGUGGCGCGAAAACUUGAUGACACUUACAAGCAACUGCCCAACCAAAAUACCCAAGGUUCCCAGGAUGAAACUGCCAGUAAGCCUCUACGACUAGGCGAACCACAACCAGGAAGCACAAUUGCCAGCGGGCAUCAAACCCCAGUGAACAACAGAACGCAAAAGGAAAGAUCCAAGCGCCGAUUUCAUCUAGCCAAUCUGGAUCCCAUCUCUGUCUCCCAAGAGAAGUCUGCCACGAGGGAAGGACCUGUCCGCCAGCGCAGCAGCCGCGUGAGCUAACCUCUUCACUCCAGCUUGGAACUUCACCUUCUCAUCCUCCUUAAGAAGACCUCACUAGUAGAAAAAGGGUCAAAUGUGAAGCACAUUAGUGCCGGUUUGUAUUUGAGCCGGUACUAAUGGUACCAUUAGUGCCGGUUCGAAUGGAUUUGCAUUAAUGCCGGUUCGUGUUGAACCUUUAGUACCGGUUCGUGGCACGAACCGGUACUAAAGGGGUGGUGGCAGGCUGGCGUCAGGCCGGCGCCCCACGAUCACCUUUAGUACCGGUUCAUGGCACGAACCGGUACCAAACCUUUAGUACCGGUUCGUGCCAUGAACCGGUACUAAAGGGGUCUGACCUAUAGUACCGGUUGGAGACACAAACCGGCACUAUAGGGCAAUUUUCAAACUUGAAAAAAUCAUAACUAAAUCAUCGUAAUUCAGAAAAAUACAUAUAAUAUAUCAAAAUAUGCAGACUUUUAAGGAAGAAAUUAGGAAGGCUAUACAGGGAAAAUGCGUGAAGGUUCUCGCAGAGUGUGGUCCUUUAAUCUCACCAACCAGUUAGCUUAGGAUGUGCGAAUCAACCUGUGGUUGGACGGUUAGAGGGACAGUAGUAUCCACAGCCCAUCAGGGUUUAAGUCCUGGUGCUCACAUUAUUCCUGGAUUUAUUUUAGGAUUUCUGGCAUUGUGCUUUCAGCGGGAGGAGACGUUCCUGUCGACAACGAGGCGCCUACGGUGACUUUGUAAAUGUCAAGAUGAUAUACUGGCUAGGUCUCUCGUAGGUGCUCAUAGGGGUAGGAAUGUGCAUGCGUGCAUUCAUAGGGGUGAGCGUAUGUGCGUAUGUUUGAGCACUUGCGUCUAUACUAAGCUAAAAAUUAGAUAGCUCGGAAUGUGUGUUAUGCUAUAUGUAUAUAACCUAGUUUCCGCUGUAAAGGGCCCGUGCGUUACAAUGUGAAAACCCGCGAAAGUUGACCUUAGUACCAAUUGGCAGUAUCUCACAGACCUGCGAGGGCCCCACUUGCCACCCUUCCUUCCCACCGACACGGAGCCUGCAAGUAUACUCUUCAUCCACGUGUUGUGUGGCUCAAACAUGGACGAAAAUACACAGUAAUCGUGAAUGCUUGUCGUCCUGAAUGAAGAUACAUAAAUUUACAGAAUAUUUUUAAUACAGGUAGAAUUUUUUUGAAGUACACGUUGUCAAUUUUUUGAAUGCAUGACGAACAUAUUUCGAAAACACGUUUGCGGUUUUUUAAUACAUGUGAAACAUUUUUGGAAAACAUGUUUACAAUUUUAUAAUAUACAGGAGGUGCUCUUCGGUCUAGCUGAAGCCGAAGAGGUGCUCUUCGGUCUAACUUAGGCCGAAGACGGGUCUUCGGUGUACUGUAGACUGAAGAGCUCCGAAGUCGGGCCGAAAAGAACUCUUCGGUCUACGCUUGGCCGAUGAGUGCACUUCGGUUUAAGCCAAGCCGAAGUGUCCUCUGAGGCCCACCUCUUCGCGUGAACUGCAGACCGAAGUUGCAUGGCACCACACUUCGGUUUACACUUGGCUGAAGAGGACCAAUUUGGUUUAUACUAGGCUGAGGAGUGACCUUUUCCCGCCAAGCCUUUUCCGCCAUCUGUAAUGUAUCUUUCCCUCCAUUUGUUCACGCCAUUUUCUUUCCCUCCACUGUUUCCUUCCAUCCUCUUUCCCGCCCAAUUUUCCUGCGAACCCCUUACCCUCAUUCUAUAAAACCAGACCCCUUGCCUGUUGUUUUCUGCAUCUUUCCUUAGCAAUAUUUUCAGUCAUGUCCGACGACAAUUCCGGCGGUUUUACUCCACUAAUGUCUCAUUUGCCCUUGUGCAAUGCCUCAAGAAUGCAUAGGCCUAGUAUGGGGGGUGUGUGAAGGAAAUAUACCCUAGAGGCAAUAAUAAAGUUAUUAUUUAUUUCCUUAUUUCAUGAUAAGUGUUUAUUAUUCAUGCUAGAAUUGUAUUAACCGGAAACAUAAUACAUGUGUGAAUAGAUAGACAAACAAAGUGUCACUAGUUGGUCAAAGAUGGUUAUGUUUCCUAACCAUAGACACGAGUUGUCAUUUGAUUAACGGGAUCACAUCAUUAGGAAAAUGAUGUGAUUGACUUGACCCAUUCCGUUAGCUUAGCACAUGAUCGUUUAGUAUGUUGCUAUUGCUUUCUUCAUGACUUAUACAUGUUCCUAUGACUAUGAGAUUAUGCAACUCCCAUUUACCAGAGGAACACUUUGUGUGCUACCAAACGUCACAACGUAACUGGGUGAUUAUAAAGGUGCUCUACAAGUGUCUCCGAAGGUACUUGUUGGGUUGGCGUAUUUCGAGAUUAGGAUUUGUCACUUCGAUUGUCGGAGAGGUAUCUCUGGGUCCUCUUGGUAAUGCACAUCACUUAAGCCUUGCAAGCAAUGCAACUAAUGAGUUAGUUACGGGAUGAUGUAUUACGGAACGAGUAAAGAGACUUGCCAGUAACGAGAUUGAACUAGGUAUUGAGAUACCGACGAUCGAAUCUCGGGCAAGUAACAUACCGAUGACAAAGGGAACAACGUAUGUUCUUAUGCAGUCUGACCGAUAAAGAUCUUCGUAGAAUAUGUAGGAGCCAAUAUGAGCAUCCAGGUUCCGCUAUUGGUUAUUGACUGGAGACGUGUCUCGGUCAUGUCUACAUUGUUCUCGAACCCGUAGGGUCCGCACGCUUAAGGUUUUGAUGACAUUUAUAUUAUGAGUUUAUAAGUUUUGAUGUACCGAAGGAGUUCGGAGUCCCGGAUGAGAUCGAGGACAUGACGAGGAGUCUCGAAAUGGUCGAGACAUAAAGAUCGAUAUAUUGGACGACCAUAUUCGGACAUCGGAAAGGUUCCGAGUGAUUCGGGUAUUUUUCGGACUACCGGAGAGCUACGGGAAUUCGUCGGGGAGUAUAUGGGCCUUAUUGGGCCAUACGGGAAUAGAGGAGAGAGGCCGAAAGAAAGGAGGCCCCCCCUCUGGUCCGAAUUGGACAAGGGGUGCAACAACAACAUACAACUAUCUAGAUAAAGCAUUUAAAUGCAACAACAAAUAUGAUCAAAAUUGCAACUAAGGUAAUAAUUGAUCCAAUAGCAUAAUGAUACCAAGCCUAUUUAUUAGCGGCAUAUUUUCUAAACUUUCUAAUCUUCAAGCGCAUUGCAUCCAUCUUGAUCUUUGGAUCAUCAACGACAACGGCAACAUACAAAUCCAAUUUCAUCUUCUCUUCUCAAUUCUUUUUAAUUUUUCUUUCAAAUACUCAUUUUCUUUUUCAACUAAAUUGAACUUCUCGACAAGAGGGUCGGUGGCAAUUUCUGGUUCACAUACCUCCUAGAUAAAAAUAUAUAUGUCAGCUUGAUGGGCAUAAUUGUCAUAAACACGAAAUGCAACAAAUAGUUAUAAAAGAUAUUAUACCACAUCCGAAUCAUAAAUCGGACAAGGGCCGUUGGCGAAGGAUAUCAAAACCAUGGCACUACGUAUAACAAACAAUCAUACAAGUAAGAAAAUUAUACAAGCAACUAUCUAAAUCAUAGAAAUAAGAUUUCUUUGCACAAAAAGGAUAAGAACAAGAGCCUCACCAAGGAGGUGUCGGCGACGGGACGGCGCGGGCGAUCGAUGGCGGUGAGGACGGGAAGGCAGUAGUUAAACCACACCUACACAUAUGGAAACUAAUAAGUUAAUUUGAGAUCAAAUUACAUAUAAAUCAAAUAAACUCCCACAUAAUUACUCCCAAACCAAAACCCACAAAUGACUAUACUUAUACAGCAUGAAACAAGCUAAACUAGCAAUGAGAGAGGAAAGGACAAUGUUACUAACCUUUUAAACACUUGGAUAGAUGGGGUGCCUCAAAUCUUAACAAAUCUUGGCAGUUAGAUGACACCACUACACUACACACGGUAGGAGUUAUCUUGAACGAAACACAAGGGAAAAAAGUCGGACCCGACAAAGGUCGUCCAGGUAGGUAGCCAUCUUUGAAUUGAAUGAGUGUUCUCCAAAGUAGAUAGCUCGGUGAGAUGAUCGACAUCUUCAUCACGAACCCUAUAUAAACGCCAAGCUCCAUGAGCUCAGUCCCAGCACACACACACCCACAGUUCCACCUAAUAUAAUGGCCGGAAGCGCGAGCGCCACUCCGGUCCUCCUCGUCGUCGUGGUCGCGGCCCUCGCCGCGGGGGCCAGCGCGACAUCGACGCUGACGCCGCUCAGCAUCACCAACCGGUGCUCCUUCAUGGUGUGGCCGGCGGUGGCCUCCGCAGGCCUCGGCACCGAGCUCCAUCCGGGAGCCAACUGGACCGUGGUCGCGUCAGCGAUCCACUACACCGCGGACAUAUGGGGGCGCACGGGCUGCUCCUUCGACGCGGCAGGCAGGGGGCGGUGCCAGACGGCAGACUGCGGCAGCGGGCUGCGCUGCCGGAGCACCGACCCUGCGGCGCCGGCGACCAAGGCCCAGGUCGCCAUCUCCGAGGGCUUCUACCACUACGGCAUCACGUUGGACAAGGGGUUCAACCUGCCCAUGGAUCUCAUGUGCAGCUCCGGCGACGCGCUCCGGUGCCGGGAGGACGGGUGCCACGACGCGUUCCCGUACGUGAAGUACAACGACCACUCAUGCACCGCCGCCGGCAGCCAGCUCCAGAUCGUCUUCUGCCCAUGAUGAGAUAGCUAGCGGCAGAACGUAAACAUAUAACCUACACAUAUACUACGUGUAGUAGUACAUACUCAGACGUGUCAUCUAUUCUCAGCGGUACGUACGUACACGUAUGAACGCACGUGCGAGUUUCCAAUAAAAUUGCCAUGUGUGAUGUGCCUUUGAUAUAUUGUUCUUUUUAUCGAAUGCCUUUGAUAUAUUGUUCUUUUUUAUCGAAUGCCUUUGAUAUAUUGUUUGCGGCAAUUUACACACAAAAGAGCGUG
rnacentral:lncRNA from 1 species